AACGAACGCUGGCGGCAUGCCUCACACAUGCAAGUAGAACGAGACCUUAGGGUAAAGUGGAGAAAAGGUGAGUAAAGAAUAGGAAAAUGAAAUAAAGUUAGGCAUAAAUACAAGCAAGGGGUGCUAAACCCGGAUAAUGUCUUCGGACCAAAGAUUUAUCGCCUUUGGAUGGGCCCGCGUUGGAUUAGCUAGUUGGUAGGGUAAAAGCCUACCAAGGCGACGAUCCAUAGCUGGUCUGAGAGGAUGAUCAGCCACACUGGGACUGAGACACGGCCCAGACUCCUACGGGAGGCAGCAGUGGGGAAUAUUGGACAAUGGGCGAAAGCCUGAUCCAGCAAUGCCGCGUGAGUGAUGAAGGCCUUAGUGUUGUAAAGCUCUUUUACCCGGGAUGAUAAUGACAGUACCGGGAGAAUAAGCUCCGGCUAACUCCGUG
rnacentral:rRNA from 1 species